CCUACGGGUGGCAGCAGUAGGGAAUCUUCCACAAUGGACGAAAGUCUGAUGGAGCAACGCCGCGUGAGUGAAGAAGGGUUUCGGCUCGUAAAGCUCUGUUGGUAGUGAAGAAAGAUCGAGGUAGUAACUGACCUUUAUUUGACGGUAAUUACUUAGAAAGUCACGGCUAACUACGUACAAGCAGCCGCGGUAAUCCGUAGGUGGCAAUCGAUGUCCGGUUCUAUUGGGUUUUAAGGCUGCGCAGGCGGCCUGUUAAGUCAGCGGUAAAGGCCCGGGGCUCAACCCCGGCGAGCCUUUGAAAAUGGCGGGCUGGAGUUGGAGAGAAGUACGCGGAAUGCGCGGUGUAGCGGUGAAAUGCUUAGAUAUCGCGCAGAACCCCGAUUGCGAAGGCAGCGUACCGGCUCCACACUGACGCUGAGGCACGAAAGCGUGGGUAUCGAACAGGAUUAGAUACCCCGGUAGUC
rnacentral:rRNA from 1 species